rnacentral:lncRNA from 10 species
GAAGACAUUAUUUGAAUGAACAGCCCCGACCUCAAGGCACAUCUCAGCUGGCUUGCCAGCACUUCUGCAACCUCGUGUGGAAGAGCGGUCCAAACUUCAUGGAAACUAACCAAUGACCUUACCUCUCUCAUAAGGGUGUGAGGACUGCUCACCUAUCAGGAAACCACAAGAUUUCAAAACUACCAUGAGGAGAACCAGAUCACAUGCCACUGAAAAGUGCGCCCUGGAAGUUGGCACAACCACCUCCUGGAUGACCUCACUCCUGGCCAGGAGGGCCUCUGUGAAACUCUAGGCCCAGCAGUGCUUGACUUGACAUGCUGGGUCUGGGUUAGCCAGAGGCACAGCCUCCAGAGGCAUGGCGACAAUGAGGGUCUGCUCUUUGAGGAGAUUGGAGAGCUGGCACCGUUCUCCAAGGGACUACAUGGGAACAGCUUCUGCACAGAUCUUGGUAUCUCCUAAUUCUCAUGCCAGGGUCCCCUGAAGCCAAGGCACACCUUGCUGCAUGGAGGCCCAUCCUGAACAUCACAGUGAGCAUGAAGGAUGGAGGAUGUCAACUACAAGGCCCUUCAUUCACACGUCCCUUCCCACCCCAAUCCCACCCUCCAAUAAGAGCUUUGGUAGCCAGGCUGGCAGAUCACAUUUCCCCAGUGCUAGAGCUGAGAGAAGCAAGCUAAGACAAAACAUCUUGAGAAGAACUUAAAUAAUAGCCAGAGGGAUGCCAGAGCAAAAGCUAAGGAAAUUACAGGUAGCCAGAAACUAUAGAAAAGAGAGGAAAGGGAGAGGAUGUGAAAUGUCAGAGGAGAGGCAGAAUCUUACAAAUGUCCCAAGCAGAGAAAGGAGGUGUCACUUUCUUGGGUGUGUCUGACCUGGUUGUGGGCAGACAGGAGAGAAGGAGCUAAUGUCACCAAGCUGGCCCCAACACCUCCUUCCUCCAUGCAAAUGGAAGACUGAAAUCAGACUGGUCUGCAAUAGGCCACCCAGAGGCUUGGCAGUUUGAAAAAGUAGAUCUGAUUGCUAAAUGUGGAACUGAGUAUUAUACAAUCUGAGCUGGUCCAGUGAAAUCAGCACUUCAAUAUUCACGAGGGAGGUGUCUACCACCCUAGAGGAAAGUCUUAAUUGUGCAAAGAGGCAGAUGUGAGAGACCCAGAGUUGGGCCACCUUGUCCUAGGCCAUUUCCCCACAUUUCAACUUUUAGCAUGGGCUCUCCCACCACCCUCCAUGAGAAAAGGCACCUCCUUCCUCCCCUCAUCCCACCCCUUCCCAAUGCACUGCAUAGGUGAGGGAGGCAACAGAGCCAUGCCCAGUCCUAGAACAGAAAUGUGGACCAAGCAUACCGCAUUCAAACCCUGGAUGCGCACUAGUGAAAGAUUCAUUGAUUGUUUGUUGAAGGUGCAGCCAGAGGACAGGCCCAGGGGCCACUCCCCAGGCCAGCUGUGCCAGGCAGCACCUGCUGCCACACCACUGUCUUCUGCUCCAGCCCCUCUGGAGCCUAUGUCUUGUUCAUUGUUAUGGAAGCUCUUUCAUGCCACAGACAAAGAACCUUAACAAUCACAACUGACUUCUUUGUUAAUGGCAGUUUAUUGUUGUUAAAUUAAUAUUCCGGUUCUCACAUGAUCAAAUUCUCUGACUAGAAUCCAAGAAUAUAUUAUAAUCUAUAUUUUCUCAGAACCAGAGAAGAAAAGGUAGGAGAAUAAUUCUUAAUAGCAGGUCAACUUCUUCUCUGUCAAAGAACUCACAUGAUGGUGAUUUCCAGUGGACAGAGAAUUAAACAGGACCCAGGUGUCCAAGUGAAGCUCUGCAGGUAGAACCCCAGUGCCGAAGUCCACAUGGACACGGAGCCACCUAGCACUGGCAGCCGCCCAUUCUCUGGCAGGAAAUGAAGGAGAGAAGACCAAAGGCAAGACUUCUUCCAGAGACUCCAGCAAGCCACUGUACCAACUAUGCCUUAUUCAAAUGGUGUGCAGUAUAUUCUUCAUUAUAAUAAAAGGUCUACCCAUACAAUCACCCAGAGAGGUCCUUCAAAAUCACCGUUCUCCAGCAAGCUUUUUAAAGGUAAACAGCAGUGAAAGAUAAUGUUCCAGAUGGAAACCCACAGUAUCACUAUCCUUUGCUUUUGAUGAAGUCAGAGCCAUGUGUUUUCAUGAUCUAUAUAGGACUAGGAUGUUAAAAAAAACUGCGUUCUUCAGAAGGGCAUAGGCCAGGAUCAAAUGCCACCUCUGCCUGGAGAAAAACUUGGAAAGCAUCUGAGAACAGGGCCAAGAAGAGGAUUGUCUUGCUGAAUGCUAAUACUCAUCAGCCUAAGUUGGAAUUUGCUUAAGCACUGAGAGUGCUGGAAGCCAGGAAGCAGUGUGAAGAUGCUGACAGUCUGGGAUUUCUGUUCCUGGGAAAAUGAACUCUUGCCGAAAGAGCAGUGGGUGGGUCCCACAGACCCUGCUCGGAGCUAUUUUUAGAGCAUUUGUCCCUGACUCCCACCUAGUGGCUUCUUCCAGCACUGCACAGGGACAAAGAACCACCACUGAUGCCACCUGAGCCCGGCCCAGGAGCCCCUUGGGAGCUGAGCGCAGAAAGAAAGCACGGACACACCUACUCCUUUCUCAUCUCUCACUCAAGUUCACACCUGUCACAGGGGAGGUAAGAAAACAUGCUGGAAAUCGGCUCACACAGGCUCUACUUUUUUUCUUGAAAAAUAAGCACCAAAUUUUCCCUCCUCUAAGAUCCAGAGGAAAAGGUUUACCUACAAAACUCCUUCUGUAACUUUUCAAAAUUGAAAUGUUCAACACACACGUAUCCUGACUAUCUUUUGUUUUCCAUUCUGGAGAUACAGAAAUGAAUCCCAUGGUAAAAAAAUUCAAGCUCACAUUUUAUAAUUCAUAAAACAGCUUUUUCUCUCCACUUUUUUUUUUGCAACUCCUCUAGCUUUUCAAUAUGGUAAACAGAUUUGCUUCUUGGACAGAAUGAAAGAUUGCAAGCUGAAUCUGGCAGGAAUGUAUGGGCUUUGUUUGAGGAGCUGGGAGCUGAAGAAACCGCCAUCUGUGACAAGGUGGUUUGGAGCUGAGAAGGGGGGGUGGCUGUGCUCCCCAGCCUGGGUCUGGGUUUCUUUGUUUCUUGGGAAACUAGUUAAAAAGGUAACUGAGGGCACCUGAACUGACUGCUGGGCUAUCAGAGGUGAGCACUUAUCCCAGCUGGGGCCAGCAGAGGCUGCUCAUUCAGGAGAGCAACUCUUCAGGUUUUUCAAUAUGGUAAACAGAUUUGCCUCUCCACUGUUGAGAUGUGGGCCUCCAUCAAGCUCUAACAUAAGGGCAGCAGUAAACUGAGAGGUUCCUAACCUGUCUCCACACUUUGGAACCCAAGAGGUCAAGACUGAGGGAGGCAAAGGCUGGUGCUUACAAAGAGACCACUCCAUAUAGCCCCCAGAACAAACUGCAGAAUUGGAAUGCUUGGCCAGAUCUUGCAGACACUUUCAAACUCAGCUGUCAUUUCCAGUAGGGAAACUGAGUCCCACAGAAGUGAAGAAGAGGCUCAUGAGUGGUAGAGCCAGGGUAGAACCCUGGCCUUUUAACUCCUUCCUACCUUCCAUACUCCCUCACCCUGGUUCAAUCUGCUUUCACCUGCUCAAGCACACUGACCAGGACUCUUGAGACCUUGCAAAGAAAAGCCUGGGUUCCUAUUGGAUGGCCAAGCCUACUCCAUGUACCCCAGUUCCAAACAGGGCCUAGAGUACAUACAGCCCUUCUGUGGGUUCUCUGCCAAGCACCACCCCUCACCCUGGAGCCUGAGCUCUUCCUUGACUUGCCUUCACUUUGCUGCUGGGUUUGCCUGCCCUUUCUCUGGCUUCAUCUUGAAACUUCACCAAGAAUCUCCUUGGCCCAUACCCAAUGUAUUAAACAGCAGAACAGACUGGCUGGCUGGUAGGAGAUGAAGGGUGUACAUAACAUACUGUUAGAGAAGCACCCAUGGCUACUUCAUAUGGAGACUCUGCUGGCUCUGGUAUCUUCUGGGCGUCACCCAAAGACCUGGGACACGAAUCAACACUGUGUAUCAGCCUAGGUCUACUCCUCCCAGCUAACUGGCUAUCCCCAGCCCUGUAGAGCCCAUCUGAAUCUGACUGGCUAUCCUGUCUAAGGUUUCCACCACCCAACCUAGCCAAAGAUCUAUGCCACUAACCACCAGCCAAGCCAAGCAGGUGUGGAGGGGUAGAGACACCCCUUUCAGACCAUGGGAAAGCCCCACUCAAGGCACAGCCAAAAUCCUGGAAGUGGUCACAGUUGUACCGGGUCCUUCUUGCCUGGGCCAGGUACCACAUGCCAGGGCCACUGAUGAUUACAUGCCAGCAUAUGCCAGGGCCACUGAUGAGCACUGCUUCCCUUUCUGGGCUUCAGGACCACCUGUGGGGUUCUGGGGCUCCUGAACUGAAAUAACCACACCCUCCCGAGGGCAUCAUCCUACAUUUCACCAUAGUAAACAGAGAAGGAGGAGGCUGCCCCUUUUCUAGAACUCAGCUCUGUUCCCAUCACAAAAGAGCUGCCUCAGCCUUCCAGCCAGGGCCUCAGCUUCAUCCUCCAUGAGCACUGACCCUGAGCUUGGCUGUGUCUUCCAGUUGUAAAGGACUACCUUCCCAUCUCCUGAGGGUAACACUGCUCUGCUGCACCACAGGCAGGACAGCCUCCCUGAUGCUUCCUCUGCAGGCCAGGUCCCAGCCCAUCUUAGACCCCAAGACACCCUCUAUACAAGGUCCUCAUUCACCAACUUUCCAGAGGAAAUACUGCUCCUAGACCAAGGGAAUCCAAGCCCUUUGUUCCUUGCCCCACUGAGGCCCCAGAGGGUAUCCCCAUUAAGAAAGCCUUGCACAUGCCCUUCUAGGCCCAGAGCCCACUUCUCCUCAUUAUACUUACCAAGGAGCAGGAUGCUAGUUUAGACUCCAGAGCAUGGGAAACUCACUUAACCCAGUGCCACUGACUCCUGGGCAGGUCUGCUCCACUUGGGCUUUAGAACUAGUCGCCUCUGUUUUAUACCCAUCUCCAGGCAAAGUCCUGGCCAACAGCACUCCUACUUCUGCCAACUGUGCUGGCCCAGCUGUGCUUUAGCUCUGCCAGGACCCAGAAGAAGAGGAACCAGCCCUACCACAAAGAAACAGCUACCCAAUAGGAGGCACUAGGACUAGGAGUGCCCUUUUCAUGUAAGACAUAGAGAGCCCAGGACUAGUCUGCUAUUUGUCCUAUUCUAACUAUGGACCACUCCUCCACAUCUACCCCUGCUUCUCAGCAGCCCAUUCUUCUGAUGGACCACAGAUGCUCCAGUGCCAGAAGAUCUGCAGUCCCAGAUGAGCAGCAGCAGUACAAGAUACAUUUCCCACUAUGUAAUCCCUCCCCUCUGCUAACAGUUGAUUCACUCUGGGGUAGACACUGGACCUAAGGUGUGCAUCCAUAGCUUGUGAAUAAAUUAAAAGUCUUUAAUGUCUAUUUCUUUUACACUUAACGCUUCUUCAUUGAUCUGGAGGACUUCGCUCAAAAAUAAUUAACUGGGUCAAUCAGAUCCUUUUCCUUAGAAACUUGAGUUUAAAAAGAAAACAUAUUGAGAAAACAUGGAAAGAAUUUGUCAGCCAACAAGAGUAAACUCAAACCUAACAGAAGUCUGUGGCAGUCACUCUGAGCUGUCUUCCUGAGGGCCACUUUCCCCCACUCUAUCAUCAUUCUUUUCUGACAGAGGCCACCUCCCUCUAUGGCAGGUGGAAGUGCCAAUACUUGCUUUCCCAGCCUCCCUUGCAGCUAGGGUAUGCACAGGUGAACAAAUUCUGGCCACUGCAGCUAAAUGGGAAGUCUGCUAGGGGGUUGCAGAGAGUUUCCCUCCUGAUUAAAAACAACAAAAACAUACUAAAGAAAUGAUUCUCUACCUCUGCACACAGUUGUAUAGUUGUGUCUUGUAAGGACAUGUUGCCUGCAGUUCUAGUGGCCAUCUUGCAACUGUUAUGGGAUGUGCCUGAGCAAAAACCACCCCUUGAGGAUGGCAAAGAAAAAAGAUGGGAAGAACCAGUACCCAUGAGGUCACUCAGAGCCACUUAUUUAACCCUGGGACUGUCUGUCUUCUGGACAUCUUGUUAGUGGUCUAUCUUGUUAUUGUUUACAUCAUUUUACUGGAAAAAGUAUCCCAACUGAUAUAGGUGUCACGAGGCAGAGUUGGACCAUGUCAGGCCAGUGUCAUGGCCAAGCAGGAAUUCUAGGUGUGAACAAUGCCAAUGUGUCUACAGAGGAGAAGGGAGCAAAUAUGCAAGGGAUGCACAGACAUCAUGCAUGAGAAGGCGCUGGGCAGUGCUGCCUAAUCCUUCAAACCAUCUUACUAGUUCCAACUCCAAUCCUAACCCACAUGGGACUUUAAAAAAAUAAUUCAACUGAGUCUCCAGGGUUGAACGCAGCGCUUCUUAAACUUUAAUGUGCUUACGAGUCACCUGGAGAUGGUUCAGCAAGUGUGAGAUGGGAGCCCAUAGUCUGCAUUUUUCACAAGCUACGAGGGGAUAAGAAAGCUGCUGAGCCACAGACCAAAAUUUGAGCAGCAACAACUUCUAACUAAAAGUGUCAAUCUAAAGCACUUGAUGAGUUUGCUCACCAGUCUGAAUUCUAUUCCCAUACAGAUUAAGACCUUGUGUGGAAUGUGGAUGUGCUGAUCAUAAAAUGACUUUAGGUCUGCAAGAUCUAAAACACAGACAGGCUAUCUCUGUCCAGAAUAAAAACCUUAACAUGCAGCCCUUACAACUUGGAAUGUUUAUAUGAACUUCUGACCCCCUAAAAGUACUUGCUUCGCCAUGCAUAGGUUAGUGAUGGCCAUAAUUACUCUAGAAGAUUUAUGAAUGCAAUCACUUUUAGGGAAAUCUCUUCAAAGGAAGGCAUUCCCUAAACCAUUGUAAAUAACCCCAAGACAAAACUGCAAAUCUGAAUGCAAGCUGUUUUCUACCAAUGCAUCUUGAAAAAACCAACAACAAUGUCAACUGCCUUUGGAUCAAAAAUAUUUUUAAUAAAUUUCCAAAAACUGUUUUAAAAGUUAGAUUCAUUGUUUAUACCAAAUGCUAAAAAAUAUUGUUGAUGGAUUGGAGUUAACCAUAAAAUAAAAAUCAAACCAUAAACUUACUAGAGGAAGAUACAGGUGAACAGUUAUCUGUUCUGAGGUUGGGAAAGGCGUUGCUAGGGCCAAAAGGAAAACAAGAAACCAAAAUAGGAAAGACUGAUAGAGUCAAGUACAGUUGUUUAAAAUUCUGUGUCUCAGAAAGCACCUAAACGUUAUUUAAAAACAGAGUGAGGAAAAUAUAUGCUACAAAUAAAGCAAACGGCUAAUAAAAGGUCAUUCAAAUAGAUAAGAAAAACACUAAAAUCCUAAUAGAAAACAACAGCAUAGACUACGAAUAGACUAGAGUGGGAGAGGUGCAUCCAAGAGGCUCAAGGUGAUUUCUGGGUGUACAGGGAAAAAUAUGGGAACUAUUUUUUAACCUAUCCUUUAAAACUCUAUUUUGGUGAACAGUGGAUACCCUAAAUACCCUGACUGACUUGAUCACUAUGUGUUAUAUACAUGUAAGGAAAUUUCACAUGUACCCCAC